GUCGAGCGACAGAUAAGGAGCUUGCUCCUUUGACGUUAGCGGCGGACGGGUGAGUAACACGUGGGUAACCUACCUAUAAGACUGGAAUAACUCCGGGAAACCGGGGCUAAUGCCGGAUAACAUUUAGAACCGCAUGGUUCUAAAGUGAAAGAUGGUUUUGCUAUCACUUAUAGAUGGACCCGCGCCGUAUUAGCUAGUUGGUAAGGUAACGGCUUACCAAGGCAACGAUACGUAGCCGACCUGAGAGGGUGAUCGGCCACACUGGAACUGAGACACGGUCCAGACUCCUACGGGAGGCAGCAGUAGGGAAUCUUCCGCAAUGGGCGAAAGCCUGACGGAGCAACGCCGCGUGAGUGAUGAAGGUCUUCGGAUCGUAAAACUCUGUUAUUAGGGAAGAACAAAUGUGUAAGUAACUAUGCACGUCUUGACGGUACCUAAUCAGAAAGCCACGGCUAACUACGUGCCAGCAGCCGCGGUAAUACGUAGGUGGCAAGCGUUAUCCGGAAUUAUUGGGCGUAAAGCGCGCGUAGGCGGUUUCUUAAGUCUGAUGUGAAAGCCCACGGCUCAACCGUGGAGGGUCAUUGGAAACUGGGAAACUUGAGUGCAGAAGAGGAAAGUGGAAUUCCAUGUGUAGCGGUGAAAUGCGCAGAGAUAUGGAGGAACACCAGUGGCGAAGGCGACUUUCUGGUCUGUAACUGACGCUGAUGUGCGAAAGCGUGGGGAUCAAACAGGAUUAGAUACCCUGGUAGUCCACGCCGUAAACGAUGAGUGCUAAGUGUUAGGGGGUUUCCGCCCCUUAGUGCUGCAGCUAACGCAUUAAGCACUCCGCCUGGGGAGUAC
rnacentral:rRNA from 1 species